UGUUAAAAUUUUCAUCCAUUUAUACUAAUAAAGACUAAAGUAGCAGACAAAAUAACCGUACAGUUAUAUGUGAUGUGCUAUAUAUACCUCAUGUGAAUGUACAUAGACUAGUUUUUAAUAGUAGAAGUAGAUAGAUCUUUUAACA
rnacentral:pre_miRNA from 1 species